UUAGCUUGCUAAGUUUGAUGGCGACCGGCGCACGGGUGAGUAACACGUAUCCAACCUUCCGUUUACUCAGGGAUAGCCUUUCGAAAGAAAGAUUAAUACCUGAUAGUAUGGUGAGAUUGCAUGAUAGCACCAUUAAAGAUUUAUUGGUAAACGAUGGGGAUGCGUUCCAUUAGGUAGUAGGCGGGGUAACGGCCCACCUAGCCGACGAUGGAUAGGGGUUCUGAGAGGAAGGUCCCCCACAUUGGAACUGAGACACGGUCCAAACUCCUACGGGAGGCAGCAGUGAGGAAUAUUGGUCAAUGGGCGAGAGCCUGAACCAGCCAAGUAGCGUGAAGGAUGAAGGUCCUACGGAUUGUAAACUUCUUUUAUACGGGAAUAAAGUAUCCUACGUGUAGGAUUUUGUAUGUACCGUAUGAAUAAGCAUCGGCUAACUCCGUGCCAGCAGCCGCGGUAAUACGGAGGAUGCGAGCGUUAUCCGGAUUUAUUGGGUUUAAAGGGAGCGCAGACGGGAGAUUAAGUCAGUUGUGAAAGUUUGCGGCUCAACCGUAAAAUUGCAGUUGAUACUGGUUUCCUUGAGUGCAGUUGAGGCAGGCGGAAUUCGUGGUGUAGCGGUGUAAUGCUUAGAUAUCACGAAGAACCCCGAUUGCGAAGGCAGCUUGCUAAACUGUAACUGACGUUCAUGCUCGAAAGUGUGGGUAUCAAACAGGAUUAGAUACCCUGGUAGUCCACACGGUAAACGAUGGAUACUCGCUGUU
rnacentral:rRNA from 1 species